rnacentral:rRNA from 1 species
UACGUAGGGGGCAAGCGUUGUCCGGAAUCAUUGGGCGUAAAGAGCGUGUAGGCGGCUUGGUAAGUCCGCUGUGAAAGUCCAGGGCUCAACCCUGGAAAGCCAGUGGAAACUGCCAAGCUAGAGUCCGGAAGAGGCGAGUGGAACUCCUGGUGUAGCGGUGAAAAUGCGCAGAUAUCAGGAAGAACACCAAUGGCGAAGGCAGCUCGCUGGGACGCGACUGACGCUGAGACGCGAAAGCGUGGGGAGCAAACAGG